UGGGAACGUGCCUUUUGGUUCGGAACAACCCAGGGAAACUUGGGCUAAUACCGGAUAAGCCCUUACGGGGAAAGAUUUAUCGCCAAAAGAUCGGCCCGCGUCUGAUUAGCUAGUUGGUGAGGUAACGGCUCACCAAGGCGACGAUCAGUAGCUGGUCUGAGAGGAUGAUCAGCCUCACUGGGACUGAGACACGGCCCAGACUCCUACGGGAGGCAG
rnacentral:rRNA from 1 species